GAUCCUGGCUCAGGAUGAACGCUAGCUACAGGCUUAACACAUGCAAGUCGAGGGGAAACGACAUCGAAAGCUUGCUUUUGAUGGGCGUCGACCGGCGCACGGGUGAGUAACGCGUACCCAACCUGCCCAUCACUUGGGAAUAACCCUGCGAAAGUAAGACUAAUGCCCAAUGAUAUCCCACGAAGGCAUCCGAAUGGGAUUAAAGAUUUAUCGGUGAUGGAUGGGGAUGCGUCUGAUUAG
rnacentral:rRNA from 1 species